UGGCAGCUGCGCAAAAAGAAUUGAUAAACGAUUAAUUUUGGGAAGGACACCGAUUUCUACUUUCUUUUUCGUUAAAAGAAACUCCUUUUCUACUGUCAGCUUCUCCCUUUCCGAGAGGUUCGUGAUAGGAUUGCGAACAUGUCGCCGUGUUUACUAAGGCAUUAAAUAUUUGCUACGGCACGUACACAUGUACACGUGUGUGCAUUAACGAUGUCUGACAAAGAAUGACACAUCUUCUACCGUUGUAAUGAAUGCAGAUUGUCCGGCGCUUCGUAUAGUGCGUGCUUGACAUGUUCGCAAGAAAACCGUGUGAUUGACAUAGGCUUUCUACUUUUUUUUCUUACGGUGCCUCGUGUUCGCCGCAUAAAUCUUCCUUACAAUUAGAAGAAUCUGACGCAAGAAUGUCUUUAAGUCAUCGAACUAGCUUCUAUACAUUUCAAUUUAACAAUGCUCGUAUAUUUUGUACAGUCCCGUGCAAAUUUUAGAUAUCUCUUCACCAAGAGAAAUGUAGGGUCCCUAGGUUCUCUUUAGGGUCUCUGAAAAUGAAAACCAAAUCAAGAAGCCUAUAUUGCACCGUAUUCUUAUGAUCUUCUUCAUCAAUCGUUGACAUAGCGUUGGUACUGUGUGGAAUUUUAAUUACUGAAAAAACAAGCCCACGCUACUUCCAAGAAAUUAAAGGACAGUUUUUAUGUCAUAUUAUCGAGCGGUGACAAAUUGUUUGAGGCCAGAUGUCACAAUAGAAUUCCAUCCAGAUUCACGACGGCGAGUUCGCUGACCCAGGAUACACACAGGUGCGCGCACACACGCCAGCGGACGAGGCUGGUACGCGCCUGGAAGACUUCCGUUUGCCGUGUAUGGAACGCGAUGAUGAUUGCUCGUCUCUCAAUACUCACGUUUCAUUCUUUCUACAUAUACAUGAUAUUUACGGUGGGAUCUUGAAGUGAUCGAUGUCCAACCAUCAACGAAGGAGGUAACAAUACUACAUCAAGCUAAUCGACUAAUUAUUGCCAGGAACGACUGAUCGUUAAAUGUACGACGUGAAAAAUAAUCUUUCAUUUAAAUCCUCGUUGAUCAUGGUUGAGGUAGAUCAUGAAUGUCAUCUGAAACUUUAACUAAUAUCUAAUUACUCUGGCAAAAAAUAAUGAAAUCCAGUUAUUAAAUCUUGAUGUAACAGAUCGAGCGGGAAGAAAACGUCGAUCGUCACUCACCGUCGACGACCACCGCAUUGUCAUCAUUUUCGUCGUGCUGGACCUCCUCCAACGAUUCGAAGAUCAUCGAUUUUCCCAGCUGAUCUGCGUCGAUGGAGGCAGAGAUCGACAAGAUCAUCGCGAGAGACAUCAUUACCAUCGUCAGCAUCAUUGCGGGUGAUAACGUUCGACGUCGUUGGUCCAUCGUUCGUCGGUGAACACGGGAACCGGAAGAAAAAUAAACACGCGAGGAGGAACACGAGUCUUGGUCCCUGUCGUUGUUACCAGUAGGGAUUCAGGGACCGACACUAAGUUGCUAAGCUGCUGAAUAGCCGGUGCUCGUGCUUAUAACGGGCUCGUUCUCCCCUCUCGUUGCUCUGAGCUGUUCUUUGCCCCCAGCAGGUUCGAGUCACGAGAAACAUCGGGCUCUUCUGUUGUUCUUUUACCGAUCGAACAGCACCAUCGAGGCAUGAGCGAGCUAAAAGUUGGGCAGAGGGUGCGAACCAGAUUUGAAGCUGACGAAUUUUUCGCGAACUUUGAGAGAUAGCUUCUGAAUGAUUUAAUACUUGAUCCUGAGGGUGCGAUUUGACGACAUAAACGUACAGAAGAUAUUCUUAAUACAAAUUUAAUAAUUCUUCAUUGAAAUAAAUAAUGGAUUGACUAAUUUACAGUUAAUAUUGUUCACUAAUUUAUAUCUUCAAAUGAGAAAGAUAGUUAUUUUGAUUAAUUUUUAAUCUUUAAAUUGAUAUGCCAUAAGUGGUAUUUUACGGUACUUUUAUGUCACGAAACUGUGUCACGCUCCAAACUUAAUAGGAUUGUUUAUCACGACCAUAAGAUGAUUAUACUAGAAAGAUUCAGAAGUUGGUCGUGAUAAAUGACAUCGAAUCAGUCCGCUCAUUUGAUUAAUGAUUCCAUAUGAAGAACUCAUUUCGCAAACACUGUGCUCCAUGUCUUCUUUUCUCGAUUUUAUCUAAUGUUCCUCGUUCGAUAACGGGUCGCCGUAUCGUUUGCCCGAUACGAAUCACGAAUAUAUAAUGUAACGAGGAAAAAAAAUGUAGCGGUUGAUAGAAAUUUUGCGUCGUCGUUGAUUAUGUAAGUCGGGCGACGGAACCGGCUCAACUAUGAUUUAUCGCGCGAAAGCACUUCUGUCGAAUGUGAAUAUGUCGAGUCCACACGAGCAUUUGCAUAGAGAGUAGGAUUCUCGUGUUGGCCUUGAAGAGGCCGAGGUGAAGGCUGCACGUAAGGGACGGCCGUGAACUUGCCAUGUGUUCCUCGUGCACCAUAGCAGAUGCCAACGUACCGCGUGCAUUUCCUUUUGAUCCACGAUGAAUGGAAUUUCUUCGGACCGUGUAUCGUGUACAUAAUAUCGGUCAUGUAGUUUUCGCUCGUUGCUUUCAAAUUUCUUAGCGAGAAACAGAAGCUUUUUCCUGUAUGAUGUUCGUGGAAUUUCCUGUUUCACUAGCAUUUCUUCUUUUGUAUUCAAAUUUGAUUUUGGUAUUAGUACUUUAAAUUAGGAAUUAGAUACAUUCAUCUUAGAUGAGUGAAAGGAAAUUAUUAUGUCAUUGGUAAGAGAUUAUUCCAUUGGUAAUUAUUGAUUAUUUAGCUCAUUAAUUCUUUUAAGUCUCUCAACACUAAUUGCAUCCUGUUUCCUUCUUGCUAAACAGGUGUAACGUCGGUUCUUAAGGGAAGUAACGUCAUGUAAUAUCAAAUGUAACUGGUUACACAGUUGCUUGUCAGGGAUUUAAACUUGAAUCGCGUAUCCACAUUGGUAUUGAAGGUUUCAAUGGUUAAUUAAAAGCGUAGUAAAUUGCACCGUGGUUAAUAAUUGCAGAAAAUAAAUACUUGCGGACUCUGAUACUAUGUAGAGUUAAUAAAUAAAUAAUGUAUCAACAUCGGGAAUGUUUAGAAUUGAUCGAGAAACGUGUCUAUUUAUAGAAAUUUCGACGAUUAGUUUGGGGCUUGGCUGAACGAUGGUCAGACUGGUCUUUUUCACGAAAACACGGUAUCAGGGCAAGGCUUCAGGAAAAAAGAACGAAAGAAGGUAGUGCCAGUCCUUGAGAUGGAUAUAAACUUCACAUUCCAUGGUUCAUUGAACUGUUCCUUAAAGGGCGAAGGGGAGAAAACAAGGCAAACAUUUCUUCUUUCUUCUUUUUCCAUGCUAAUCUCAUCCUUUCUUCGAACAGGCUAUUAAUAAUCUGUGUCACUGAACCGCCGAUCACACUUUACAAACCAUUUGCGAUAUUUAAUAAAUCUCGAACUGAAUAAUACCAUUAAGUCCAUCCAUUAGUCUUCAAUAGAACUGUUACCUCGUUCCUUUCAACGAAUUCUUCCAAAGACUGAUGUUCAUUAUCAUUUUAAAUCCGUGCCUAUUUAAAUUUCUCAAUACUCCUAUCUGUGCUAAGUAGCCUAACUUUGGUAGCAUAUGCUACUUUGAGAAGAGGAGGAAAGGUUAUCCGAACGUAGGUGUGGAGUCUUUUCAACCAAAAUUUGGUCACCUACUUUUUCAUCAGCCUCUACAUUCAGUUGGACCUUCUGUCAUUGUCAAAAUAUAUAUAAAGGGCCUGACAUUUUAGGAUACUAAACCAGACCUUUCUAAAAAUACCCACGAAUUAUUUAGAAGGACCAGGAUAUUUAGAAUCGUUCAUCUUUUCCUUCUACGAAAAGGUGUCGGGUUCAUUGUCUGACUAGCUGACAUGACGCUUAAUUGGAAAUCGAUGUCCAACAGAAUGAUCAAAGGAUUUGACAGCCUUUUAGUUCACGUUCGAGUUGACCGAUUGAAAUAUUGAUUUAGCAUGAACAAGUUUCGAUAACAAGACGGACUAAUGAAAUUUGGUUCAAGAUCCUGUAUUGGCGCCAUCCGAGGUUCUCCUUCUGGAAACCGGUUGCCUCAGGAUCACUUUUUCAUUACGUACUUGUAAACAGUCUUAAAGUACUCUUCGUUUGAUAAGAAGUGUGUAUCACCUUGUUCGGUACUCUGAAGAAUGUUUGCAAACAAAUUGCAUAAUUCUGAAUUGAGGUUAGGGGAUUAAUGUCAUUUUAAUAUUUCAUUAACGCGACUCGUUGAUCAUUAUAGAAUUUCACCUACGAUGAAAAGUAUCGAGUAUAAAAGAAUCGAUGAGGUUAGGGCCAGUGUCCCACUACAAGGUCGUAUAUCGCCACACAAUCAUCAAUGUCCACGAAUACUGACGCACAGCAGUGUUAUAUGAAAAUCGAUGAUCCUCAAUGUAUGCAGAGGGAACGAUUCCCGAAUAUUUGAUUAGUUAUUAACCAGACGCCAUUAAACGAUAUCGAGGGGAGUUUAUGUCAUUUCUUUUUUUAUUUAUGUGACCGUUAGAAUAUAAAAAAUGAUAUAUCUUAUGAUUUAUCAAUGGAGGAUCCUUAGUGUUCGAAGCAGCUCAUCUAUAAAACUCUUGCGGAUCUCUUUGAGAGUUUGUCAGCCACUUUCCGGUCAUCUGAUUUUAUGGCUCCGUUUUAUUUUUCUUCUUUUUACCCGGCCCUUCUUUUAUAACUUUUCAUGCCCAGAAAUAUCUUGACCAACAGGUUUGCCGAUAUUCCAGGAGGUAUGGAAGCCCUUGACGAAACUUUUAGCUGAUCUCUGUGAAUGGGAAUUCUAUAGGUGAUUAUUUGGAUUCAUAUUUGCUUUUAUGGAAGAUCGUAGGAUUGGUAGAAUUAUUCUCAGGAUUUCGGAUGAAUAAGUCUUUGUAUAGGAUUUGGAAUUGUAAUGUUGAUAAAUAGGAGGAUUUGGAGGAUUGAAAAAUUUGCAUGGUUCAGAGAUAUUUGGGAGUUUUUAGGAAUUGGAGGUCCUUGGCACUCUGAAGUCUCCAAACUAAAAAUCUCUCAAAUUCGCAGAUUCUUGCAGUCUAGAAGUCCUUCAAAUCCACGAGCUUAGAGGUCCUCGAGAACCUGAAGAAUUAUUUCAAGGAUCACGAAGAACAACGCGCAAUUUAUAAAACGUACUAAUAUAAUAUUUAUUGUUUGCAAUAAACAGCGUAAUAUAAUAUCACCUCUGGCACAAUCUCACGAUGGCAAGACAACGCGAAAACGGUAUUAUAUUCGAUAUUCUCGCAUUCACUUCUGUUCCGCAACUUGUCUCUGCUUCUUCAUCUCCUUAACAAAACAGUACACUGCGCGCGCUAGGCCUAAAAUCGGCCGUAUCAUCAACACACUAACUUCUUUUCUUCUCUUACACGUUCUAACAACAUCUAUAAAAGAACGAGGCCGUUUUCGGCUCGUUUCGCAUCGUCGUUUACGUCGUUUUAAGUACGAUUUCGAGAUGGCUGACGAACGUUCAGGAGAAGGCCACGAAUCGGCUCCUCUUCUAAAAACUAUGCCUGGACGCAAAAUAAAAAAUAGGAGAAAAAAGGAAAAAAAGAAAACAAACGCGUUAUACUCAUUUCUUCGUCUCUUCACUGGGGUCUCGUUUGCGAUCGAGGUCUUCUCCUGACUGUAACGCGACUGCCUUUCAUGGAUGUAUAACAUUAAUUAAUAAUAUUAAUAAACGUAAAGAUUAUAAGGGAUGAUACUAUAGCGAUUAAAAAAAAAAAAAAAAA